GACGAACGCUGGCGGCGUGCCUAACACAUGCAAGUCGGACGGGAUUUGGGGGGCAACUCCAAGUUCAGUGGCAGACGGGUGCGUAACACGUGAGAAACCUGCCCAACGGUGGGGGACAGCCGGCCUAACGGCCGGGUAAUACCGCAUACGCUCGUUUGGGGGCAUCCCUGAGCGAGGAAAGCAGCCGCAAGGUUGCACCGAUGGAGGGUCUCGCGGCCUAUCAGCUAGUUGGCGGGGUAACGGCCCACCAAGGCGACGACGGGUAGCUGGUCUGAGAGGAUGGCCAGCCACAUUGGGACUGAGACACGGCCCAGACUCCUACGGGAGGCAGCAGUGGGGAAUAUUGCGCAAUGGGCGAAAGCCUGACGCAGCGACGCCGCGUGAGGGAUGACGGCC
rnacentral:rRNA from 1 species